CAGUAGCCGCGGUAAUACGGAGGGUGCAAGCGUUAAUCGGAAUUACUGGGCGUAAAGCGCACGCAGGCGGUUUGUCAAGUCAGAUGUGAAAUCCCCGGGCUUAACCUGGGAACUGCAUUUGUGACUGCAUGACUAGAGUACGGCAGAGGGGGAUGGAAUUCCGCGUGUAGCAGUGAAAUGCGUAGAUAUGCGGAGGAACACCGAUGGCGAAGGCAAUCCCCUGGGCCUGUACUGACGCUCAUGCACGAAAGCGUGGGGAGCAAACAGGAUUAGAUACCCCCGUAGUCCCUGUCUCUUAUAC
rnacentral:rRNA from 1 species